rnacentral:rRNA from 1 species
GCACAAUGGGCGCAAGCCUGAUGCAGCCAUGCCGCGUGUAUGAAGAAGGCCUUCGGGUUGUUAAAGUAUUUCUAGCAGUGAGGAAGGUGGGUAUGUUAAUAGCAUAUUCAUUUGACGUUAGCUGCAGAAGAAGCACCGGCUAACUCCGUGCCAGCAGCCGCGGUAAUACGGAGGGUGCGAGCGUUAAUCGGAAUUACUGGGCGUAAAGCGCAUGCAGGUGGUUUGUUAAGUCAGAUGUGAAAGCCCGGGGCUCAACCUCGGAAUUGCAUUUGAAACUGGCAAACUAGAGUACUGUAGAGGGGGGUAGAAUUUCAGGUGUAGCGGUGAAAAUGCGUAGAGAUCUGAAGGAAUACCGGUGGCGAAGGCGGCCCCCUGGACAGAUACUGACACUCAGAUGCGAAAGCGUGGGGAGCAAACAGGAUUAGAUACCCUGGUAG